rnacentral:lncRNA from 1 species
UUUUCUAUUUUUUAUACUUCAACUCUUUAUAGAUGUUUUCCUUUAAUGCUUUGAACAUAUUUAUAAAUAACUGAUUUAAUAUCUUUGUCUGAUAAAUGUAAUAUCUGGGCUGCCUCGGGAGUGGUUCCUAUUGAUUAUUUUUUUACCCUGUGUAUUGGCCAUAUUUUCCUGUUUUUCUGUGUGUCUCACAAUUUUUUUACUGAAAACUAGACAUUUCAAAUAAUAUAAGGUAGCAACUCUGCAAAUCAGAUCCCACUACCACCACUCUCACACACACACUACUAGGUUUAUUGUCUUUGUUGCUGUUUACUUAGUGGCUUUCCCAGACUAAUUCUGUAAAAUCUGUAUUCUUGGUCAUGCCCAACCACGGAAGUCUCUGUUUAGCUUGCUUCAUAGUCAAACAAUGAUUAGACAGAGAUUUCCUUAAAUUUCUUGAACCAAUAUGUCUCCUAGACUUUACCAAGGGACUUUAGUGUAUGUGUGGGCAUACCUUCAACAAUCUGGCAGGCAGUUUAAAAAUCUACUUAAACCUUCAGUUUCUGUUUGCACAGAGGCUCAAGAUCAGCUAGUGGCAGCUAGUAGUCAGAACUUUCUCAGGUCUUUCCUGGCACAUGCAAAGCCAUGCACAUGAAUAUAGCCUUCUAGGUACCCAAGAACAUGUCAGAGCUUUUCAAAAUCCCUAUGGGCAGCACAUGCUCCAGUGUUCCUUUAAUUUUUUUAGUCAGCCUUUUAUUAACCCCAAUGGAUAUUGCCACCUCAGGUGGUUGGAAUGUUAAACAACUGCCAUUGAUUGUUUUGGACAAACAUGUUGGGAAUAAGGCCAUUCAUGAAGAGCAAGGCAGGUCAAUUAAUGACAAAGCCUGAGACUGGAGCUUUUCCAGAGAACUGCUAAAUAAAUCAAAUAAUGAUAUUUCUCUGCCUUUGAAAAGGCAGAGAAGUUUGAAAAAAGUGACAGGACAAAAGAAAAACCUAUUUCGAAGAGGCAAAAGUCACAGGCAGUUAUAGUCUGGUAAGAAGCAAGGCACCCAGUCCAACAUUUCAAAGUAGGGAAAAAUCUUUAAAAUUAAAAUAAGCAGUAAGAUCUAAGGCCAGUCAGAGAACAGAAUAAAUUUGGAAAAAAAUAAAAUACUUACAGAAAAAAAAAAAAACAAGAAAAUUAAGAAAAGUGUAAUGAAAAGAUCCAUGCAAAGUCUUAACUUUAGUUUUUAAAGUGAGGGGUGCUAGUGUGACCUUAGUCCUAGCACUGUCACUAAUAUGCUGUAUGGGUGUAACUAAACUGCCAGCCCUUAGUUUUCUAAGGAAGAAUUGGAGUUUGGAGUUUGUUUCCCAAAUUUUAAUUUUUGUCUACAACCUUCCUGAUUUUUAGCCUCCCAUAUCUAUAUAUCACUUUGUCAAUUUAAUGUUUUAAAUGCUCAUUAAAAGGAUGCCUGGGUGGCUCAGCAGCUGAGUGUCUGCCUUUGGCUCAGGUCCUGAUCCCGGGUCUGGGGAUCAAGUCCCGCAUCAGGAUCCCUGCAAGGAACCCAUUUCUCCCUCUGCCUAUGUCUCUGCUUCUCUCUGUGUGUCUUUCAUGAAUAAAUAAAUAAAAUCCUUUAAAAAAUGCUCAUUAAAAGAAACCACAAACCAUUAAAAUAGAAAUGCUCCUCCAUGUACCAACUACCUCACUUUGGUAGACAAUGGACUUGAUGUGUAAGGUUCUUUCCACUUCUGUGAUUACGUGGAUGGUUUUUCCUCUGUUCUUUCUAUUCAGGUUGGAAGAUUACCUGUUAGUAGUGUGUCUCUCAGAGGACAAGGUAAAUUCGGAGUUUAGGAUGGACCAGUUUGUGAUUAAACCGUGUUGGCAGCAGCCACUGAGUAACUAAUCCAUGGUGGUGGUAAAAAGUGGGUUGAGACACCCCAGAGCUGACAUCUGGUACAGAGCUGUUUAUGAUUUCAUAGAGUAUUUGAAAUACAUUAAUAAUUCCAUGUACUAGAGCUGAACCAAUUCUGAGAGAACCCUACACGAUAAUAAUAAACCUCACUUAGCUUGAUCUUAGCACUUACUGUAUGCCAGAGUCCAGUGCUAAGCAUACUGCCUUUACUCUUCACAACCACUCUGCUAGGUACAUAUUAUUAUCCCGAUAUUACAGCUGAGGAAACCGAGGUUCAGAGCAAAUGAGUGACUCAUCAAUCCUCUUGUAACAGCCCUAUAGGUCCUUUAUUUAAUCACUGGAGGUAACCCUUGCCAUGCUAGAAUGGAUUCCAGAGAAAGCUCUCUAUAUGAGCAGAAAUCUUCCUCCUUCCACUGUUUUGUCAGAGACACUAAUUUUGUUCCCUGGGGCCACAAAACAUAAGACCACCUAAAGUUUAAUUCACCCAAUUUAUAGUUGAGAAAAUGGUGUGUAAUUUUGGCUUUCAUUAAUAAUAUCCGCCUCUAGAAGAUGGGAUAACCAUUUUCUCUUUCCUGUCUAGUCUAGUCGACCUCAAUAGCACUGGGGAUGCCAGAAAAAGAGGGUGAGGGGAGGCAAAUGGUGGUCCAUGGCCCUAGUGUGUUUUGUUGUAACCGCUUUAAUGGUCUGCAGGUUUCUGAAGCUGCUCCACGUUCCUCUUUCUCAUUAGCCACACGUUAAGAAAGAUACCACACUGGGGCACUUGGGUGGCUCAGUGGUUGAGCGUCCGCCUUGGGCUCAGGUCAUGAUCGUGGGGUCCUGGCACCAAGUCCCACAUUGGGCUCCCCACAGAGAGCCUACUUCUCCCUCUGCCUAUGUCUCUGCCUCUCUCUCUGUUGUAAUAAUGAAUAAAUAAAUAAAUACAAUCAUUAAAAAAAAAAAGAAACAGGGAUCCCUGGGUGGCGCAGCGGUUUGGCAUCUGCCUUUGGCCUGGGGUGCGAUUCUGGAGACCCGAGAUCGAGUCCCAUGUCAGGCUCCCUGCAUGGAGCCUGCUUCUCCCUCUGCCUGUGUCUCUGCCUCGAUCUCUCUCUCUCUCUCUCUCUCUCUCUGUGACUAUCAUGAAUAAAUAAAAUCUUUAGAAAAAAAAACAAAAAAAGAAAGAUACCACACUUUAAGACGGAUAUCAGUAAAAUAGUGAGAUCCAAAGGAGGACAGCUUGCUAAUGAGGGGCUAGCUCCAACUGAAUAGUUGAAGAGAAAGGGUAGUCUAGCCUGGGGGGGCGGGGUGGAGAAUGGAUAAAGGGACAAUAUCCUCAAAUAUCUGAUCAACUGUCAGCAUAAAUGAGGGAGAUGGCCAAUGCACAAACAUAUAAUAAACAGUGAGGAUACCGUAUAGGACAUGUGGUUCUCAUCAGCAGAAAUGUUUGAUCAAAGGUAUCAUCUUUAUCUGUCAGGGACACUAAACAGGUUCUUCUGUGAUAGAUGGGAGACCCACAGAGUUCCCUUCCAACCCUAAAAUGUUGUUACUCCAUAUAAAUCUUGCCCCAAGUUACCCAGUUUGUGGCACAGUGAGGACUAGAAACCACCUCUACCAUCCUUAAGUCCAGAGCUCUCUUCAUGACAUCAUAUAUCAUACAUUAACAAAAUAAUGUGAAACACUGUCUAGAAACUAUUCCAAGUGUAGCUGUUUAUUCAUUACAAGUUUCUCUUUCUCAGUAGCCACAUUUUAAGAGGGAGAUAUGUCUAUAAACACAUGAUUUUAUGAAGCAAAUAAUUUAAAUCUAAGCAGAUUUCAUCGGAGUGCAAAGAAUCCCAAUGAAUGAGGUUUCUCACAUGUUCCAAGCAAUGAAAAGUGAUGAAGAGAAGUGGAACAGAACAGAAAGCUUUAUUUUCUUAUUUCUAGUUUAUCAGGACAUGCCAGAAAGCAAUGAGGGAUGUCCUGUGUAAUGAUGGCCACUCUGAAAAUUUGCAGUACUUCCUUUUCACCAAAGUAGGUACCUGAUGCACAUAAGUUCCAUGUAGUUUAGAAUAUGCUUCAUUUAAAGAUGCCCAUAAGGUUCCGAGCUGUCAUUUAGUAACCCAAAGGACAUGCAAGUUAGGGCCCAUUCAAAACUAUGUUUAUAUGUGCUGUAAUGGGGGCUGUGUUUGAGUUAUAGGAAUAAAGCAUUUCGUUAAUUUAACCCAUAUGCUGGAAUUUCUUUAAGCAUUCUACAACAGGUAUAUAUUCCAUAUUUUACAUUCCCCAUAUAUUUUUAUAUUACAUACACACACACGCACAUAGGUGUGUAUUUAAAGGUGGCUCCACACCCAAUGUGCAGCCCAAUGUGGGGCUUGAACUCAUGACCCUGAGAUCAAGACCUGAGCUUAGAUCAAGGGUCAACUGCUUACCCCAACUGAGUCACCCAAGCGACCCUACAUUCCAUAUAUUUUCUGAAGGCUGUCAUGCUAGUCUAUCAAUUUAGGAUUAGGAAAACAGCAUUCUCUAUCAGCUGACAGCAUUCACUGAAGUACCCAUCUAUAUAAGGAACUGAAUUCAAAAGGGUCCAAUUUGGGAUGAGUUAGCAUCUCUCAGAUAUUUAGGGAAUGACACUAUGCCUCAAUUCACAAUUUAAGAAUUGUUAUGUAAAACGUAAAAUAUAUAAAAGAUGCUAUAAAGAAAAUUCCUGUUGAUGAUGGUGAUGAUGAUGAUGAUGAUGAUAAAGCCAUGGGGACAUAACAAACAUUUAAAGCUGAAAGGCGGGCAGCCCAGGUGGCUCAGGGGUUUAGCGCUGCCUUUGGCCCAGGGUGCGAUCUUGGAGACCUGGGAUCCGGUCCCAUGUUGGGCUCCCUGCAUGGAGCCUGCUUCUCCCUCUGCCUGUGUCUCUGCCUCUCUAUCUCUCUGUGUCUCAUGAAUAAAUAAAUAAAAUCUUAAAAAAAAAAAAAGCUGAAAGGGAACUUAAUGAUCAUUAAGUUCAGAAAUAGAAACAUUUAAGGCAUCUGCAGGUCACACUGCUGCUUGGCUGCAAAGCAGAAACCAGAGUGCAAAUAUUCUGAAUUCUAGCCUAGUGCAAUUUCGCCAACAUGAUGCUGUGACAAGGACAGACAAUAUUUUGGGCAUCAAUUUUAGAAGGCAUCCGGGCUAUUAAUUAGAGGUCUAUAUUCUGCUCUGUUAACGUCCAGGAGACUUGAGACAAGUAAAUGAUCUACUCGGACCUCCACUUCCCAACCAAAGGAGUGAAACACUAAUCAAUACCCUGUCGGAUUCAGCGAGGAUUCAUUCAGACGAGAAACAGAUGCUCUGGGAAAUACAGCUACUCAAAGAAAGGAAUGCUUUCAGAAUGAUGGACCAAGAAAGCAGCUCUAUCUUUGGCAACUUUAAAAGGACUAACCAAACCCUAAACAUGU